UACAGAGGUCUCAAGCGUUGUUCGGAUUCAUUGGGCGUAAAGGGCGCGUAGGCGGCGGGGUAAGUCUGGUGUGAAAUCUCGGAGCUCAACUCCGAAAUUGCACUGGAUACUGCUCUGCUUGAGGGUUGGAGAGGAGAUCGGAAUUCACGGUGUAGCAGUGAAAUGCGUAGAUAUCGUGAGGAAGACCAGUGGCGGAAGGCGGAUCUCUGGAACAAAUCCUGACGCUGAGGCGCGAAGGCUAGGGGAGCAAACGGG
rnacentral:rRNA from 1 species